AAGUCGUAACAAGGUUUCCGUAGGUGAACCUGCGGAAGGAUCAUUAAUACGCUUUUGUUUGUAACAAAACAAAACGUUUUAAACCCCAAAAUUGAAAUAGUGGAAAUAUAACUUCCGGGUGCGAAUGUUGGGGAACUGAGUAACAUCGGUUCUUUGAAAAGGGACUUCAAGUAAAAUUGACACUUCAGAGUAGAGCAGUGAGGUGAAACUCGAAAGAGUUUGGUUCUGAAAAACAUUUGUAUCCGGUUAUCACAUCUGUUCUACCAAUUUAUCAAACAAUAAACCCCAUGUACAACAACUUGAACUAAACAUUUUUUUGUUGUCUGCUUCGCGGCAGAUGUGCAAAGAAAAACCUGAACUUAAGAACAACUCUUAACAACGGAUAUCUUGGUUCUC
rnacentral:misc_RNA from 1 species